CCCGCCACCCCAGCGCCGGCCCCACUCACCCUUUCAUUCUCCGCCCCGGGCCUGGCGUGGGCCGGCAAAUCCCCGGCCUCACAUCAGAGUGAGAGGCGCUGGCAAUGGACUAGGAGGCUCGGCUGCCGCUGCUAUUGCUCCCCCCUGGGCUUCAGUGAGAGCCUUUCCCUGUCAAGCAAGAGGGGUGAGGAUCAUAUUUUUAUUUUGGAAAGUAAAAAGUGCUCCCAGGGUCGGUGAUUAUUAAGGGGAAAUCCCUGAAUAUACUCUCCAGCCAAGAAGGCAGGGCUGCCGGGGCUGCACAAGAAGAGGCAGCAGCCUCCUACAGCACCACUACAGGCACUGCGAGGACAUAACACCAGAGAGUGGCUCCUCUGCCCUCCGAAACGACAACUUUCCUACCAUCUUGGAGGCAGAGCAAAGGGGGGCCAGGGGGAAAAGUGCACUCGCUCCCCGAUAAAGUACACAUUUCUACUUCUCACCUCUGGAAAAAAGUCCACACCGGCCGUCGACACCAGCGCCUGAGGGAGAAAGCAGGGAAGAAACUGAGGGUUCAUGAGAAACGUGUGCAUUUGCUCCAGGGGGGAAAAUGUUUCUGCAUCUGAUGGGAAGAAAUCUUUACAAGACACAGGUUUUCCGGUUUAAGUUCUGUGGCGGUGGACAGUUUAUAAAUCUGUACUUCAAGAGACUUCAUAGUUAUUUUGUCUAUUUAUUUUUGUUACUCUAUAUAUAAAUGUUUGUGUUUUCAUAUAUAAACAUACACAUAUGUCUGUAUUACGUAUUCUAAACUGAGAUUGCUGUAAGACAAUUGUAAAGAGAUGUCUUUUGUCCUCUCCUUGCAAAGCAAUGUAAAUAAAAUCUAUUGACUGUCCAGAAAGGCA